rnacentral:sRNA from 1 species
UUAAAACGCUGAAUAUCAGAGCCAUCUGAUAGCGGGAGAACCAUCUUUGGGGUGAAUUCGCGUCUGCGAUAGGGGACUUCCCUCUCCGAACCCGGCAGCUAAUCUCGUAAGCGUGGGGAA